UGCGAUGGACUGCAUAAGCCUUUGUAGAGUUAUGAAGGAUAUGCUAGAAUCUUCUGGAGCUAAAGAUAAAGGAAAGGCCAAAGAAGAUAAAGACAAGGACAACAAUGGGAAAUUUUAGAACCCGUGUAACACCAUCAACGUCAUAUUCGGUGGCACUACGGGUACUGCUACCAAGCGGUCCCAGAAACUAACCCUACGUGAAAUCAUGUCCAUUGAGCCAGCAACGCCUACGUCCCUCAAGUGGUCUAAGGUGCCAAUUACCUUUUCAAGAAAGGAUUAGUGGACUAGUUUCUCC
rnacentral:lncRNA from 1 species